GGCUGCGGCCUGCCCGCCGCGGGGGGCCGCACGGCGGGGAUCCCACAGGGACUGCCCGAGGGCCGCACCCCUGGGCCUCUGACGGGAACCUCCCGCACCCCGCAACCCCGGGAUCUGACAGGGACCCCCCGCAUCCCGCACCCCGCGGGGAUCUGAUGCGGAUCUGCUGGUCCCGCACCCUGGGGUCUCACAGAGAUCCCCCGCAUCCCACCCUUUCGGGGGCUUCACAGGGACCUCCGGAUCCCAAAGUCCCGGGAUGUGACAAGGGGCCCCCGGGUCCUGCACUCCGGGAGUCUGACAGGGAGCCCCCAGACGCCCAAACCCUGGGGUCCGCAGCCACCCAACCCUCCAGGGCAGAAGGACUGCAGCCAUAAAUUCACCAGAAUUGCUGGCCUCUGAAGAAACCUUAAUUCUACUUUGACAGCAAAAUCGGAUUCCAAAGA